rnacentral:lncRNA from 1 species
CAGAACUGUAAGGUCAUAAAUCUGUUUUAAGUCAUUAAACUUGUGGCAAUUUGAGGACAUUUCAAAAGUGAUAUAGCUGAUGGGCGCUGCCCUUAGAUCCAGUCAAAAGGACUGUCACCCUAGGUCCUGCUCUGUAGAGGGACCCAUUCUGAAGGACCUCUCACCAGAAGAUGAAGUUCCAGGGGGCAAAGUUCCAGAAUGUGCCCUUCUGAGCUAGUGCCCUGCCUUUUGGGGCCGCAGUCUCCUGGAAUUCCUGCUCACAUAGCAACGAACCUACUUCUAGUGUCUGUGCCAACACUCAGAUUGGAUUCCCCUGGAAGCAGGCCCCGAGGAGUUUAAGGGUGCAGCACGUUUAGGAAAGAAUGGCCUUGAGAUGGAAACCUGGGGAAGCUCCAGGAAGGAAGCAGGACUGGGCAGAGGGAGAAGUCGAGCUGUGUGGCAGGUUCAGCAAAAGCCUCAGCUGACUGCAUGCAAUGUCUGGAGCUAGAAUUGGGCCAGGCUGGGCAGGCCCCUAGAGUCUCAUGUCAGUCAGUCCUUGAGCGUGGCCUGCCCCUGGAAUGAGCGUGACCUUGGGGGAGGCAGGUUUUUGCAGUUGAGCAAUCUGAAGGCUAAUAACUAAAAAUGAUCUUUUUUGCCUGAAGCCCUUAGGUAAGGGGGGGCAGUGGCUUUCACUGAAGGGGUCACAUCCCAGGGCUCACUUCAGCAGACACCUUCCUAGGGUCUGUCAUCAUAAGAGGAGGUAAUUGCACAGAUGCAUAUACCCUGCUCCCAAGUGUGGCCAAGAGGAGGCUCAUUGCGGGGGAUGGGGCGCUGAGAAUGACUUUCAGUUCUUGAGCUAGGAUUUCUACAUGCAGGUUUAUGAAGGCCUUCGAGGUGUGGGAUGGAACUGAAGUCGGAAGGAAAAUGGAGCAGGCCUUAGGCCAGCGGCUGGGGGCUGCUUCUGCCCACACCUCAUGUGCUGGCAAAGUAUCCCAGUGGGUCAGAGAAUUCUAAACUUCAACCUGGUCUCCCAGGUCUUUGUCAAGACAGAAGAGUAGAACUCAUUUAACAGUAUAUGAACUUCAUGCAAGUCUUUAAACAUCUUUAGAUAGAUGGGAUAGAGGCCUCCAUUUGUACUCCUGCCCUGAGCCCUGCAAAUGUGGUGGCGGGCUUUAGCUGACACCCUGUUCCAGUUGGAUCGUUUCUGGAUAAAUCAGCUACACUUGUAUGGCACAAGGAGCACUUUACCACACCUGGCGAAGUAAACUUUUUCCCGACCGACGUCCUUAAAUUGAAUUUUUUCUUAUUAUCCUUCAGUUUACCUGGUUUAGCAAAAGAGAAUGGGGAUAUAGAAUUUCUAUUUGGGAAUUACGGUCAUAUUCAUUUCACUUGCUCCAGUCAGUCAUAUGGUCCUUUUUGCCUUUGCUCAGAUCCACAGACUUAGGAGUAGUUCUUUUUAUGGGUCGUUUUCCAGUAGCCUGUGGGCCAGUGGGAGCCAUGCUGGGAAGCAAUCACAUUUUCAUGGGGAGCCAGAUCUCCCAGCUGCUAAGCUCCUUUAGGCUAAGGGAGGAGCAGCCCUUGCUAAGAUGGAGAGACCUUCCUGGAGACAUCUGUCUCUUGAUGCAAACGGACCAUCUCCCUUCUCAGCUGGAGUCCAAUCUAAAGUUUGUGGCUUAUUCCCCGUUAUUGUCUCAUAUAAACUAGAAGUCUUGCUCACUUGCUCUUUUUACUAGUAGGCAUUUGUUUCUGCCUGUCCUGAAACACUUCCUCCCGAUUUUAUAGACAUCCCCCCCCCAUUCCCUCCAUGGAUCUGGGAUCGCUGUCAAUCACAGCGGCCCACUUUUCUUCCUCUGCUCACCAAGUAGGGGAAGGGAGCAUCUGUCACCCUUGCACAUUUGGAUGGUCUUUGUCAGGUCUUCAGCUCUAAGUUGAGGAACGGUUUAGGCUGAAGGUGGUUAACACUGACUUGUUCUAGAGGAAGCACCUCGAAGAGACAUGUCACUGCUACUGAGUUCACUUCGGGCACCCUUUCCUAUCCUUUCUUCAGCUUGCCGGGAUGGCCUUCUUCUUCAUUCUGUAAGCUACUCAGCAUCUUUCCAGCAAGUUCUUUUGCUCACCUAAGUGGGCCAGAGUUGCUUGCAAGGCAAGAGCCCUAAGUGUCAUACUGAUUUUUCCAUUUGGAAAGCCUUCCCCCAACCCAUCCCCAUUUCCAGCUUCACUCCCUCCAUCUAGCCCAUUUUCCUGUCUUGACUUGUUGGAAUGGUCUACUGCUUUUGCCCCUAGAGUUUUCCCUUGCUGAUUGCCUGGAUGGCAGAUCAGAAAUUGCUCUAAUUUACUACAGUGAGCUUUCAAUGUCAGAACUGUAGUUGGAUUUUUCUCUCCUAGUAUCUCUAUGAGCCCAAUGUGAUAAUUCAGUCUAGGAAACUAGAAUUCAUAGUGCGCUAUGGUGAGGUAGCUAACUUGAACCUUUAGAAAGCCUGUAAGUUGUUCAAAAAGCUAAAGUAAAGUUAGAGCAACGUUGGAGUUCUCGUUAUGGCACAACAGUAUUGGUGGCAUCUUUGCAGCAACGCUUAGGCAUAGGUUGGAUCCAUGGCCUGGUACAUUGGGUUAAAGGAUCUAGUGCUGCUGCAGAUGCUGUGUAGGUCACACCUGCAGCUUAGAUCUGAUUUUUGGCACAGGAACUCCAUUUGCUGCAGGGAAUCCAAAAAAGAAAACAAACAAACAAAAAAUAAAUUAGAGCAAUGUUAAAUUGUUCUGUUUCAGGGUGGUGUGUGUAUCAGAAAUUGAUGGUCACAAUAAUUCUCUCUAGUAAAAAAUAACAAUCUCAAUGGGAUACAACGAUAAGCUUUAUUGUAGGUUCAUGCGGUCGGCCCUGGACUGGGCUCAUUUCAUGUGUUUAUAGUCAGCUAUAGGUUGGGUAGGGGCUCUGCUGAUCUAGGCUGGCUCUCAUCCAAGUCUGGAUGGCUUUGGCUUCUAGGGUGGCCUGACUAGGAUGACUGGGGCAGCUCAGCUCUGGUCCUUGUGUCUCUCAUUCUCCUCCUGGCACAAGAGGGCUAGUCUGGGCACGUCCUUCUUACGGCAGUGGCAGAAGUGAGCUCAAUCAUGCAGGUGCCUUCCGUGCUUUUGUGUCAUGCUCAUCAAAAUCUUUAUAGCCUAAAGCAAGUCAAAAACUGAGCACAGAAUGGGAGGUUGCUAUAGAGUUACAGACAAAGGUUAUAGAUAUAGGGAGGAAUGACCAACUGGGACCAUAUUACCUUUGAUCUACAACAGGGUAGUCUCCCCCACACACACCAGUGUUAUGCAUUUUAUGAUCUUUCUACAGUAAACCCUAUGUAAUAAAGGAAAUUUUCCAAAAUAGAGCAGAUCAGAAUCAUUGGAAAUUUAGAAACAACUAUAUAUAUAUACACACACACUAUGUACAUUUGGAGGAGUUCUCAUUGUGGCUCAGUAGGUUACAAACCCGACGCUGUCUCUCUGAGGAUGUGGAUUUGAUUCCUGGCCUCACUCAUAGGUUAAGGAUCUGGCAUUGCCUGCUGCAAGCUGUGGCAUAGGUCACAGUUGCGGCUUGGACCUAUCAUUGCUGUGGCUGUGGUGUAGGUUGGCAGCUGGAGCUCCCAUUCAACCCCUAGCCUGGAAACUUCCAUAUGCUGUAAGUGCAUCCAUAAAAAGAAAAAA